GUUGUGGCUCAGGGGUAGAGCACUUGCCUAGCAUGCAAGAGGCACUGGGUUUGAUCCUUAACAUCACA
rnacentral:tRNA from 1 species